AGAGUUUGAUCAUGGCUCAGAACGAACGCUGGCGGCAUGCCUAACACAUGCAAGUCGAACGAGACCUUCGGGUCUAGUGGCGCACGGGUGCGUAACGCGUGGGAAUCUGCCCUUGGUUCGGAAUAACAGUUAGAAAUGACUGCUAAUACCGGAUAAUGUCUUCGGACCAAAGAUUUAUCGCCCAGGGAUGAGCCCGCGUAGGAUUAGCUAGUUGGUGAGGUAAAGGCUCACCAAGGCGACGAUCCUUAGCUGGUCUGAGAGGAUGAUCAGCCACACUGGGACUGAGACACGGCCCAGACUCCUACGGGAGGCAGCAGUGGGGAAUAUUGGACAAUGGGCGAAAGCCUGAUCCAGCAAUGCCGCGUGAGUGAUGAAGGCCUUAGGGUUGUAAAGCUCUUUUACCCGGGAUGAUAAUGACAGUACCGGGAGAAUAAGCCCCGGCUAACUCCGUG
rnacentral:rRNA from 1 species